rnacentral:rRNA from 1 species
UACGUAGGUGGCAAGCGUUGUCCGGAAUUAUUGGGCGUAAAGCGUGCGCAGGCGGUCCUUUAAGUCUGAUGUGAAAGCCCACGGCUCAACCGUGGAGGGUCAUUGGAAACUGGGGGACUUGAGUACAGAAGAGAAGAGUGGAAUUCCACGUGUAGCGGUGAAAUGCGUAGAGAUGUGGAGGAACACCAGUGGCGAAGGCGACUCUUUGGUCUGUAACUGACGCUGAGGCGCGAAAGCGUGGGGAGCAAACAGG